AGUCAUAUGCUUGUCUCAAAGAUUAAGCCAUGCAUGUGUCAGUACAAACCAAUAUAAGGUGAAACCGCGAAUGGCUCAUUAAAUCAGCUAUGUUUCAUUGGAUCUGUACCCCCCAUUUACUUGGACAACUGUGGUAAUUCUAGAGCUAAUACAUGCACACAUAGUCCCUGACCGUGAGGGAAGGGCGCUUUUAUUAGUUCAAAACCGGUCGGGCCUCGGUCCGUAAACCCACCUKUGAUGACUCUGAAUAACUUUUGGCUGAGCGCACGGUCUCCGUACUGGCGCCGCAUCUUUCAAGUGUCUGCCUUAUCAGCYUUCGAUUGUAGGUUAUGCGCCUACAAUGGCUAUAACGGGUAACGGGGAAUCAGGGUUCGAUUCCGGAGAGGGAGCCUGAGAAACGGCUACCACAUCUAAGGAAGGCAGCAGGCACGCAAAUUACCCACUCCCGGCACGGGGAGGUAGUGACGAAAAAUAACGAUGCGAGACUCAUCCGAGGCCUCGCAAUCGGAAUGAGUACACUUUAAAUCCUUUAACGAGGACCCAUUGGAGGGCAAGUCUGGUGCCAGCAGCCRCGGUAAUUCCAGAUCCAAUAGCGUAUAUUAAAGUUGUUGCGGUUAAAAAGCUCGUAGUUGGACUUACGUUUUGGACUGACGGUUCACCGCCCGGUGCUUACUGUCACGCUCCCGAGCCGCUCAUUAAUUUGAGCCCUGCCGGCUUGCACGGGGUGCUCUUCACCGAGUGUCCCGAGUGGCCGGCCUGUUUACUUUGAAAAAAUUAGAGUGCUUAAAGCAGGCUACUUGUAUGGCCUGAAUGUCUAUGCAUGGAAUAAUGGAAUAGGACCUCGGUUCUAUUUUGUCGGUUUUCCUUAUCGGAACCCGAGGUAAUGACUAAUCGAGACAGGCGGGGGCAUUCGUACUGCGACGCUAGAGGUGAAAUUCUUGGACCGUCGCAAGACGAACUACUGCGAAAGCAUUUGCCAAGGAUGUUUUCAUUAAUCAAGAACGAAAGUUAGAGGUUCGAAGGCGAUCAGAUACCGCCCUAGUUCUAACCAUAAACGAUGCUAACUAGCGAUCCGCCGGCGUUAUUCCCAUGACCCGGCGGGCAGCUUCCGGGAAACCAAAGUCUUUGAGUUCCGGGGGAAGUAUGGUUGCAAAGCUGAAACUUAAAGGAAUUGACGGAAGGGCACCACCAGGAGUGGAGCCUGCGGCUUAAUUUGACUCAACACGGGGAACCUCACCAGGCCCGGACACUGGAAGGAUUGACAGAUUGAGAGCUCUUUCUCGAUUCGGUGGGUGGUGGUGCAUGGCCGUUCUUAGUUGGU
rnacentral:rRNA from 1 species